GAGUCUGUAGCUCAGUUGGAUAGAGCAACGGCCUUCUAAGCCGUGGGUCGGGGGUUCGAAUCCCUUCAGGCUCG
rfam:Anaerostipes hadrus draft genome.